UACGUAGGGUGCAAGCGUUAAUCGGAAUUACUGGGCGUAAAGCGUGCGCAGGCGGUGAUGUAAGACAGUUGUGAAAUCCCCGGGCUCAACCUGGGAACUGCAUCUGUGACUGCAUCGCUGGAGUGCGGCAGAGGGGGAUGGAAUUCCGCGUGUAGCAGUGAAAUGCGUAGAUAUGCGGAGGAACACCGAUGGCGAAGGCAAUCCCCUGGGCCUGCACUAACGCUCAUGCACGAAAGCGUGGGGAGCAAACAGG
rnacentral:rRNA from 1 species